AGAAAUGUACAGUUUUGCUAAAGAUAUUUUUUUACUCUUGAGCGAACGUUAGCAAGUUAGCAUGCUAAUUAGUUUUUUUUUUCAACCCUGCAACUUUUCUUUUUGCAAUUAAGUAUGUAUGUCGGCAUGGGCAGUAAUAACAGAGUGAACACUUACUAAUGCGUCCAUGCCAAGACAAAGUCUGUAGCAUCGCCAAUGCCCUGGCCAGUGCAGCCUGUGAGCGAUGUAAGAGUGGCUUUGCUCCCACUGAGAAGAUUGUUAACAGCAAUGGAGAAUUG